rnacentral:rRNA from 1 species
UACGUAGGGAGCAAGCGUUGUUCGGAUUUACUGGGCGUAAAGGGCGCGUAGGCGGCAAUUCAAGUCACUUGUGAAAUCUCCGGGCUUAACUCGGAACGGUCAAGUGAUACUGUCGGACUAGAGUACAGAAGGGGCAACUGGAAUUCUCGGUGUAGCGGUGAAAUGCGUAGAUAUCGAGAGGAACACCUGCGGCGAAAGCGGCGCACUGGACCACAUCUGACGCUGAGGCGCGAAAGCUAGGGGAGCAAACAGG